CUACGGGAGGCUCCAGUGAGGAAUAUUGCACAAUGGGGGGAACCCUGAUGCAGCAACGCCGCGUGGGGGAUGACGCAUUUCGGUGUGUAAACUCCUUUUAUAUGUCAAGAAAAUGACGGUAGCAUAUGAAUAAGCACCGGCUAACUCCGUGCCAGCAGCCGCGGUGAAUACGGAGGGUGCAAGCGUUACUCGGAAUCACUGGGCGUAAAGGACGCGUAGGCGGGCUUGUAAGUCAGGUGUGAAAUCCUACAGCUUAACUGUAGAACUGCACUUGAAACUACGAGCCUAGAGUAUGGGAGGGGGAGAUGGAAUUAGUGGUGUAGGGGUAAAAUCCGUAGAUAUCACUAGGAAUACCUAAAGCGAAGGCGAUCUCCUGGAACAUAACUGACGCUAAGGCGUGAAAGCGUGGGGAGCAAACAGGAUUAGAUACCCUGGUAGUC
rnacentral:rRNA from 1 species